AUUGAACGCUGGCGGCAGGCUUAACACAUGCAAGUCGAGCGGAGAUGAGGUGCUUGCACCUUAUCUUAGCGGCGGACGGGUGAGUAAUGCUUAGGAAUCUGCCUAUUAGUGGGGGACAACAUUCCGAAAGGAAUGCUAAUACCGCAUACGUCCUACGGGAGAAAGCAGGGGAUCUUCGGACCUUGCGCUAAUAGAUGAGCCUAAGUCGGAUUAGCUAGUUGGUGGGGUAAAGGCCUACCAGGGCGACGAUCUGUAGCGGGUCUGAGAGGAUGAUCCGCCACACUGGGACUGGGACACGGCCCAGACUCCGACGGGAGGCAGCAGUGGGGAAUAUUGGACAAUGGGGGGAACCCUGAUCCAGCCAUGCCGCGUGUGUGAAGAAGGCCUUAUGGUUGUAAAGCACUUUAAGCGAGGAGGAGGCUACUGAGACUAAUACUCUUGGAUAGUGGACGUUACUCGCAGAAUAAGCACCGGCUAACUCUGUGCCAGCCGCCGCCGUAACAC
rnacentral:rRNA from 1 species